AGUGAACGCUGGCGGUAGGCCUAACACAUGCAAGUCGAACGGCAGCACAGUAAGAGCUUGCUCUUACGGGUGGCGAGUGGCGGACGGGUGAGGAAUACAUCGGAAUCUACUUUUUCGUGGGGGAUAACGUAGGGAAACUUACGCUAAUACCGCAUACGACCUACGGGUGAAAGCAGGGGAUCUUCGGACCUUGCGCGAUCGAAUGAGCCGAUGUCGGAUUAGCUAGUUGGCGGGGUAAAGGCCCACCAAGGCGACGAUCCGUAGCUGGUCUGAGAGGAUAAUCAGCCACACUGGAACUGAGACACGGUCCAGACUCCUACGGGAGGCAGCAGUGGGGAAUAUUGGACAAUGGGCGCAAGCCUGAUCCAGCCAUACCGCGUGGGUGAAGAAGGCCUUCGGGUUGUAAAGCCCUUUUGUUGGGAAAGAAAAGCAGCAGGUUAAUACCCCGCUGUUCUGACGGUACCCAAAGAAUAAGCACCGGCUAACUUCGUG
rnacentral:rRNA from 1 species